GUAUUAGGUUGGUGCAAAAGUAAUUGCAGUUUUUGCCAUUGCUUUUAAUUUCAAAAAACAUGAUUACUUUUACAACAACCUAAUA
rnacentral:miRNA from 1 species